AGCUUGCUGGGUGGAUUAGUGGCGAACGGGUGAGUAACACGUGAGUAACCUGCCCCUGACUCUGGGAUAAGCGUUGGAAACGACGUCUAAUACUGGAUAUGAUCACUGGCCGCAUGGUCUGGUGGUGGAAAGAUUUUUUGGUUGGGGAUGGACUCGCGGCCUAUCAGCUUGUUGGUGAGGUAAUGGCUCACCAAGGCGACGACGGGUAGCCGGCCUGAGAGGGUGACCGGCCACACUGGGACUGAGACACGGCCCAGACUCCUACGGGAGGCAGCAGUGGGGAAUAUUGCACAAUGGGCGAAAGCCUGAUGCAGCAACGCCGCGUGAGGGAUGACGGCCUUCGGGUUGUAAACCUCUUUUAGUAGGGAAGAAGCGAAAGUGACGGUACCUGCAGAAAAAGCACCGGCUAACUACGUGCCAGCAGCCGCGGUAAUACGUAGGGUGCAAGCGUUGUCCGGAAUUAUUGGGCGUAAAGAGCUCGUAGGCGGUUUGUCGCGUCUGCUGUGAAAUCCCGAGGCUCAACCUCGGGCUUGCAGUGGGUACGGGCAGACUAGAGUGCGGUAGGGGAGAUUGGAAUUCCUGGUGUAGCGGUGGAAUGCGCAGAUAUCAGGAGGAACACCGAUGGCGAAGGCAGAUCUCUGGGCCGUAACUGACGCUGAGGAGCGAAAGCAUGGGGAGCGAACAGGAUUAGAUACCCUGGUAGUCCAUGCCGUAAACGUUGGGCGCUAGAUGUAGGGACCUUUCCACGGUUUCUGUGUCGUAGCUAACGCAUUAAGCGCCCCGCCUGGGGAGUACGGCCGCAAGGCUAAAACUCAAAGGAAUUGACGGGGGCCCGCACAAGCGGCGGAGCAUGCGGAUUAAUUCGAUGCAACGCGAAGAACCUUACCAAGGCUUGACAUACACCGGAAACGGCCAGAGAUGGUCGCCCCCUUGUGGUCGGUGUACAGGUGGUGCAUGGUUGUCGUCAGCUCGUGUCGUGAGAUGUUGGGUUAAGUCCCGCAACGAGCGCAACCCUCGUUCUAUGUUGCCAGCGGGUUAUGCCGGGGACUCAUAGGAGACUGCCGGGGUCAACUCGGAGGAAGGUGGGGAUGACGUCAAAUCAUCAUGCCCCUUAUGUCUUGGGCUUCACGCAUGCUACAAUGGCCGGUACAAAGGGCUGCGAUACCGUAAGGUGGAGCGAAUCCCAAAAAGCCGGUCUCAGUUCGGAUUGAGGUCUGCAACUCGACCUCAUGAAGUCGGAGUCGCUAGUAAUCGCAGAUCAGCAACGCUGCGGUGAAUACGUUCCCGGGCCUUGUACACACCGCCCGUCAAGUCAUGAAAGUCGGUAACACCCGAAGCCGGUGGCCUAACCCUU
rnacentral:rRNA from 1 species